CAAACACAAGCUCUGCCUCUGUGCAGUACAGUCUGCAUUUAUCAUGCGCCUCCCUUGGCAUUUCAGCUCAGUGAUAUUUAAACGAUGCUAAGAAAUCAAGCCCCACUUGGUGUCAUCCCCAAGAAGCUGGUAUUCCUUCUAACAUGAGAAUCCUGCCCUUACACUGAGAAGGAACAGAAAGGAAUCAGAAAGCAGUGAUCACUGUAUCUGUCUCAAGUUGGGGAAGAAACAGUCCUAAUCUUCAAUCUGGUGAAACAUUCACAAGCCUGUAAUUUUAUGUAGAAAGUUGGAAAAUAUUAAAGUCAAGCAGACUAGUGGAAGAAAUCCCUGGGGGCAAAAAGAAGAUAAAUGAUGCUUUCAUGACUACAUUUUCUUGUUUCACAGCAACUAACAAAGUAGAUGUGUGAAAGAACAGAAAGGCUGAACG
rnacentral:lncRNA from 1 species